AAAAAAAAUUAAAAAAAAAAAAAAUUAAAAAAAAAAAACAAAAAUGGAUUUAAGACCUAGAAUUGACAAAUUACAAAUUUCACUUCUAAAUCAACAAUUGCUAUUUUUAUUGAUCGCAGCCAAUUUCUUUGUUUCCUACUUUAAGGCCCCCGAGUAUUUCUCUUAAAGACACACUUAAAUUCCUCUGGAAGUAAAAGGUUAUACUUGACAGGAGAAAGAGAAAUUAUAUUACCUAUAAGGUAUACUGCUCUAGAAAAAAUGAGAAAUUUUUUAUUACUUAUAUAAAAAUACACACAAUUGGAACUUUCUAGCCAAUAUUUAUAUUUUAUAUCUAAAAGUCUUAACACAGUCUGCUUUAAUAAGGGCUGCCUGAAAUGGUGCUUUUAAAAAUGCAAUGAAGGUGGGCACCUGAGUGGCUCAGUCGGUUAAGCGUCUGACUUCGGCUCAGGUCAUGGUCUCAAGGUUCAUGGGUUUGAGCCCCACAUCAGGCUCUGUGCUGACAGCUUAGAGUCUGGAGCCUGUCUUCAGUUUCUUUGUCUCCCUGUCCCUCUCCUGCUUGCUCUGUCUCUCUCUUUCAAAAGUAAAUAAAAACUAAAAAUUCAAAAAAAAUUAAGGCAAUGAAGGUAAACAAUGUAAUGUUGAAGUAACAAAUGUAUAAUGUAUACAUAUCACUUGUUUUAUGUAUUUUGUUAGGUUUUCUACUUACAGAGAAAGUGAAAUCCUCUCAAAAUUAACCACUGAUGGACAGAAGUAGAGUUUUCUUGCUGAAACUCUGGGGAUUUAAAAUGAGCAUCUUUUGCACGACCUUCUUACACGAAAAACAGUUGAAACUUAAUGUUCCACAUCAUUCUGCCAUGCAUUAUCUAAAUAAACCUUUGUGAGCUUCAUGGCAUCCAUUUUGAAUUUUCUUGCCCAGCGUAACUAGGGAAGACUACAUCCUCUAGGACCACAUGUACACAGCUGUCAGAGUGUGGUUUCUUGGAUGCAUUUAUU
rnacentral:lncRNA from 1 species